GACGUAGGGCGCGAGCGUUGUCCGGAUUUAUUGGGCGUAAAGAGCGUGUAGGCGGCCAGGUAGGUCGGUUGUGAAAACUGGAGGCUCAACCUUCAGAGGUCGACCGAAACCAUCUGGCUAGAGUCCGGGAGAGGAGAGUGGAAUUCCUGGUGUAGCGGUGAAAUGCGCAGAUAUCAGGAAGAACACCCGUGGCGAAAGCGGCUCUCUGGAACGGUACUGACGCUGAGACGCGAAAGCGUGGGGAGCGAACAGG
rnacentral:rRNA from 1 species